UGCCAUUAGAGCUGAUGGGAAGCCUUCAAACAUGAGAGAUUACGUGCUUCCAUGGAUUAACAAUGGAGUGUUGCAUGACUAUCUCCUUCCUGCUCAAGGAAGAAGAAUUUCUCUUUUGGAGCUUUCCCUGACUCCACUAGCAAGAAUGAUAGUGGUUUCUUUUGAAGAAGAGCUGAGGGGCAGCUCCUCUCCAAGAUCCUGUCCCGUUUUGGUUCAUGUGUGAUUACCGACAAUUUUGGCAAUGGACACAGUGAUGAAGAAACAGUAUUACUUUGGCUAUGUCAGCACAGGACUAAGCACACAGUUUCCAGUAUCUAAUCAACACAGUCAUCCCGGGAUGUUUGUACGUGUACAUAACACAUCUGAAUUCUUUUG